UACAGAGGUCUCAAGCGUUGUUCGGAUUCAUUGGGCGUAAAGGGUGUGUAGGUGGCGCGCUAAGUCGGGUGUGAAAUCCCGGGGCUCAACCCCGGAACUGCAUUGGAUACUGCCUUGCUAGAGUACUGGAGAGGGAACUGGAAUUUACGGUGUAGCAGUGAAAUGCGUAGAGAUCGUAAGGAAGGCCAGUGGCGAAGGCGAGUUCCUGGACAGUUACUGACGCUGAGGCACGAAGGCCAGGGGAGCAAACGGG
rnacentral:rRNA from 1 species